UACGGAGGGUGCAAGCGUUGUCCGGAUUUAUUGGGUUUAAAGGGUGCGUAGGUGACCUUAUAAGUCAGCGGUGAAAGUCUGCAGCUUAACUGUAGAACUGCCAUUGAUACUGUAAGGCUUGAGUACUGAUGAGGUAGGCGGAAUUGAUAGUGUAGCGGUGAAAUGCAUAGAUAUUAUCAAGAACACCGAUUGCGAAGGCAGCUUACUAAGGAGUUACUGACACUGAGGCACGAAAGCGUGGGGAUCAAACAGG
rnacentral:rRNA from 1 species